rnacentral:rRNA from 1 species
CCUACGGGUGGUUGCAGUGGGGAAUAUUGGACAAUGGGGGCAACCCUGAUCCAGCCAUGCCGCGUGUGUGAAGAAGGCCCUCGGGUUGUAAAGCACUUUCAGUGAGGAAGAACGCCUGGUGGUUAAUACCCAUCAGGAAAGACAUCACUCACAGAAGAAGCACCGGCUAACUCCGUGCCAGCAGCCGCGGUAAUACGGAGGGUGCGAGCGUUAAUCGGAAUUACUGGGCGUAAAGCGCGCGUAGGUGGCUUGAUAAGCCGGUUGUGAAAGCCCCGGGCUCAACCUGGGAACGGCAUCCGGAACUGUCAAGCUAGAGUGCAGGAGAGGAAGGUAGAAUUCCCGGUGUAGCGGUGAAAUGCGUAGAGAUCGGGAGGAAUACCAGUGGCGAAGGCGGCCUUCUGGACUGACACUGACACUGAGGUGCGAAAGCGUGGGUAGCAAACAGGAUUAGAUACCCUAGUAGUC